rnacentral:rRNA from 1 species
UACGUAGGGUGCGAGCGUUAAUCGGAAUUACUGGGCGUAAAGCGUGCGCAGGCGGUUCGUUGUGUCGGCGGUGAAAGCCCGGAGCUCAACUCCGGAACUGCCCAUUGAAACUGUUUAGCUUGAGGACGAGAGAGGUGAGUGGAAUUCCCAGUGUAGAGGUGAAAUUCGUAGAUAUUGGGAAGAACACCGGUGGCGAAGGCGGGUCACUGGGCCGAUAUUGACGCUGAGGAGCGAAAGCGUGGGGAGCAAACAGG